rnacentral:lncRNA from 1 species
GGUAAAAUUUUUACAAAUUUAACGUCACGCAAGUAUGCAACGGAAGUGUCGAAAAGAGAGAGAGAGAGCGAUCGAGACCGAUUGAGAGAGAGUAAGACAGGGCGAACGUAGCAUGAAGCAACUAGCGAUGGAGUGAGAGUAGGGAGCAAGCAAGUGAGAAAGAUCGAGAGAAAAACUGAGAUAGAGCGAUUGUCGUAUCACGCACAGUGCCAUGGAGCGAGAGGUGGGAGAGAGCUAUAGUGAGAAAGAUUGAACGAGAGAGAGAAUAAGGGAUAUUGAGAAAUAAUACAUGCUAUAUUGGUUUGUGUAUUCGUUUACUAGUUAAUUAUUAGAACUUUAGAUGGCAAAUCUGUCGCAUAACGUCAUUUGCAGUAAACGCAGAUUUUUCAUCUAUUUACAAUAUUAUUAGUACUUAUGCAGUGUAUAAACAGUGAGUUAAAUUUAUAAAUAAACUUUAUGAAUAAUAUUUUGUGAUAAAUUUUUAAGUCGUCCUAUACUAAGCAGUUACUCGAAAUCGCAAUGCCAAAAAUUGUGGUGCGAGAAUGUGAAACAAUUAAAAAUAAAAUAUCUGUUAGACGGCCAGGUAAAACAUCAACAGAACGUUCACGUGAAUUUAGAGAGCGGAAAAAGGCUUUAAAAAUGCAGCUAGCCAAGAGUUGAAUAUCUCAUCGUCCAUCAUUACAAAAACUAAACCAAAAACUCCAGCAGAGCGUAGUCGUGACUACAGAGCUCGAAAAAGACAAAAAUAUGAAGAAAAUCAAGAGUCAAAUUAUUUGACGCGAAUCACUGUUGAAGUUGAAGUACAUCAAGAACAAGAAAAUUCUCAACCUUCGACUUCGACUUUACCAAUUGAAAAAAAUAAAACUUCAAGAGAACGUGUUCGUGAGUUUAGAGCAAGAAAAAAAUCAUUGACAAACCUUUCAGAAAACAUUAUUGAAGAUUUUCAAACAUCAUCAAAUAUUAUUAAUGCUAAUAAUAAUAAUAAUAACAAUAAUGGUGAUAAUAAUAAUAUUAAUAAUAAUAAUAUCGAUGAUGAAAAUCAUAAUGUCAAUAUUAGAAAUAAUACGAGACGUAUUCAAGAUAAUGAUUUACGUGUACCUUAUUCUAUUUUUCACAGGCAUCAAAAUGCUCACAAGGAAUUUAAGGAAAAAUUUAUCAAUAACUCAUUUGGGCAUGUUUGCUUAGUAUGUGAUAGAUUGUGGUUUGAAGAAGAUUUAAAAUCUGCAUCUAUUCAACACAAAGAGAUAUUAAAUAUAAUUCUUCCUCAUGUGUCAAACGACAAAAUUGCUUUAUGCAACACAUGUCUUAACGCAUUAAACAAAAAUAACAUUCCAGUAAUGGCUGUAUAUAAUGGGUUCAAAUAUCCACAAACUAAAUUUAUAAUUUAUAUUAAUUUUCAACACUUUUAAUAUUUUAAUGACAAUUAAAUUCCUAACAUAUCUUCCUUUUUCCCUUCCUUUAAGUCUCGGAAAUCUAAAGUUUUAGAUUUGUAUAAAUAUAGACAAGACUGAUAAAUUAGUUCGCCAAAGAAGUUUCACUUCUGACAUGUGUACUUUGUACGCACGCACUUUUUUUUGUACGAAUUAACCUUACCCCCCCCCCCUUAAUUCUUGAGGAAGAUGGACACCAGAAGCAUGCUGAAUAUAUUUGUGCAAGACUUCCUCAAGAUUAAAUGUUUUCGAAUGACCGUUCGCAUCAUUCUACCCCUCCUAUAUUUUCUAUAGGAUCAGUGGAUCUCAUUCAGCUUAACUUUUUAGAGUAUAGACCUACUGUUUUAUCGAUCAAGACAAAAUUAUUUUAAAAUGAGCACCACUGAAUCAAUACAUC